UAUUCAGGGGCCAGUUAAUGUCACCCCAUUGCAAGUUAUGCCACUGUACAUGACAUCAACAAUAUGCUCCACCAGCAUCAUCGAACCAAGUAUCCUUCGUACCAACGAAAUAACCAUGAUCAUUUUCUAACCCUAUAUGGAACAAGCCUAAUAGGUAUAUAUUGGUGGAGACACCCAAUAUGCCUGAUGGAAGUACAAGAAGACCACUUUGUUAUUUCCAUUGCAGAUA
rnacentral:lncRNA from 1 species